GGUGAGGACUCAGAAGCUUCCAGUCUGAGGAAACAGGAUCAGCUGAGGAAUUGGUGAGGAAUUUGCCUUAGAGUCCCCACGCCUAUAAUCUGACUCUUUUCAAUGAAAUGCCAUCCUCCAAGAGAAAAGGAAUGUGUUCUGUGCUGCUCAGCAGAGAAACUUGGAUGCUAAAACACAGCUCGCCAUGUGAAAUUAGGAUUCAUCUGUCGCCUCUUCAGGAAAAGCAGAGAGGCCUUCUGUUGGAGAUGAGGAAGGAGUGCCUCUUCCCCAGGAAGUUUCUCUGAUACCACACCCGAGGAGGAGUGAGCAAGCAAGAGAGCACGCGGGGAGCAUCAAGCAGUCUGAGAACUGCACUUACCUCCAGGAAAAUGAAAGACAAGAUUAGUUCUGUGAAGAAUAUUGCAGAUAUGGGAUCCUUUGCUCCAUCGUAUAGCUGAGUGCUUGACCUCAAGGAUCUUCUUGUCAUAUGGACACUCCAGACUUCCUUUAAACCUUUUGUUACCAAUAAUC